GCCACUCAGGUUCUUCAGUUGCAGAAGAUUUACGCAUUGGGAAUAUUCCCCUCUCAUGUACAAGUUGUUGAAGAAGGGUUUGCCACUCACUUUCAGCGUGGAGAACCCAUCCAUAUUUAUCUUGGCGGACAACUCUCAACUCAGUAGACAUUGCAUCACGAACCAUUUCCAAUGCAUAUCUCCGUUCAGUUACCUGUUCCCAAUGUCGAAGAUCUAGCUUCAAAAUGUCUCGUGACCUUCUCCCCAU
rnacentral:misc_RNA from 1 species